UACGGAGGGGCUAGCGUUAUUCGGAAUUACUGGGCGUAAAGCGCACGUAGGCGGCUUUGCAAGUUAGAGGUGAAAGCCUGGAGCUCAACUCCAGAACUGCCUUUAAAACUGCAUCGCUUGAAUCCAGGAGAGGUGAGUGGAAUUCCGAGUGUAGAGGUGAAAUUCGUAGAUAUUCGGAAGAACACCAGUGGCGAAGGCGGCUCACUGGACUGGUAUUGACGCUGAGGUGCGAAAGCCAGGGAGCAACGGG
rnacentral:rRNA from 1 species